rnacentral:lncRNA from 1 species
GGCGGGUCUACGGAGGCCUCUUUAGGCCACAGAGCAACGUAAAGCCUAGACCUGCAGUGACCGCUCAGUCACAGUUGAAGGAGACCUACUGAGUCCUGAAGACAACCAACAAAGGCCUUAACGGCACAGAAGCAUCUGAGUGGACCUAACACAGGGCAGUGAAAGUGAUGCAGAACAAACUUCAAAGCCUCCAGGAGCACACGUGACCUCAGGAAAUGAACAGAAACAACCUAGCUCUCCGAAGAGGAGUAUUUCAUUCAACUCCGAACUGCUCACACAUGCAACUGUGAACAAGGCUCAUUUAAAAAUCCAUGAAGCUUCUAAUGUUUUCACCACAAAAUAUAUUCAGUAUUGAGGUGCUGGAUAUGUUGACUAGUUUGAUUUAAUUAUUCCACAUUAUAUGCAUAAAUAGUAACAUCACCUUUUUCCCCAUAAAAUUAUACAAUUAUAAAUUGUCACUUUGCAAUUAAAACAAUAAAAU